ACAGACAGCUUUGAGGUGUCUGUGGACGGUAAGCUGAUCUACUCCAAGCUGCAGACGGGAUCGUUUCCUGAUCCGUCUCAGUUGGUGGAGAUCGUGAAGAAGAUGAUUGGCCAAUAAGGAGGAAACGGGGGGGGGGGCGACAUUUAUGAGUCCUCUUCUUUAAAAGCUGUAUUCACACUGCAAGAACAAGGGUUUGUGUCUUUUCACGGUUCGGAGCUCAUUCGCUCACAGAUGCUAAUAUGAAUACAAAAGGUAAAUUAAAAUUGAAGUUGUUAACAGAAAACAACUUAAUUUUGGACCAAAAAGUCUCAGCAUCCGCCACGAGGAGAUCGGACUGUUUGUCUUCGCUGUGAAUACAAAGACGAGAAGGUGAUGAGAGCAGCUGUGAGGAGCCGGACGCCGAUCUGCACUCUAGUUUAUGAAUGUUCACACUAAAAGUAAUGCAGUGUGAACACGAUGGAAGUCUAGGAGCCAAUCAGCUGACUGGAGCCCGAGGAACUGCUCUCGCCACGUCCGUCUGCUAUUUACUCACCAAUAAAUCAUCAAAGACAUCAGAUAUAUUUUGUAUUUAUACUUCCCAUAUAUGCUCUUUUUAAAAUGUAUAUACAUGGAUUAUCACCUGGGUGUUUUGUAAUAAAGAGCACUGACACUUUACCAGCUUAGAUAGACAUGAAAUCAACUACAAAUGUUAAAUAUGUGAUAUUGAAUUUGACUCUGAGCAUAUAGUUGAACCUUUUUAAAGACAAUUUACAGCAUUGUUACAAUACUGUUACUCAUUUGUAAUCAAUUCCAACCAAAUAAUUUCCUGAAGUGUAAUAAAUUAUCUUUGAAAAGAAAA